rnacentral:rRNA from 1 species
GACGAACGCUGGCGGCGUGCUUAACACAUGCAAGUCGAACGAAGUGGCGAACGGGUGAGUAAAGCGUAAUCAAACUGCUCUUCAGAGGGGGACAACAGAUGGAAACGACUGCUCAUACCGCAUACUGAAGGAGGGGAUUGCGUCUGAUAAGCUAGUUGGAGGGGUAACGGCCCCCCAAGGCGAUGAUCAGGAGCCGGUCUGGAGGGAUGAACGGCUACAUUGGGACUGAGACACGGCCCAGACUCCUACGGGAGGCAGCAGUGGGGAAUCUUCCGCAAUGGACGAAAGUCUGACGAAGCAACGCCGCGUGAGUGAUGACGGCCUUCGGGUUGUAAAGCUCUGUUAAUCGGGACGCGGUACCGGAAUAGAAAGCCACGGCUAACUACGUGCCAGCAGCCGCGGUAAUAC